rnacentral:tRNA from 7 species
UCCUCUGUAGUUCAGUCGGUAGAACGGCGGACUGUUAAUCCGUAUGUCACUGGUUCGAGUUCAGUCAGAGGAGCCA